GGGGGGGAGGGGGGUCUCUUUUUUUACCUUGUGAUAUUUUUGUUUCAGUAAAUAAAAGAAUAUUGCUGUUGAAAUAUUUGUAAACAAAUCAUUCCACUCCAAAUUUUUCUUUCAUUUUUGUUUUCAAAUUGAGGUCAAAGUUUUAUGUUCCAUGUAUUUUACUGAAACAAAUGUAUAUAACUAGCUUCAUUCUCAUCUUUUAUACAAUCUUUACUGUAUAAGAGUGUUAAAGUAUUAGUAAAUAAAACAUCUUUGUUAAGUGCCUUGAUAUCAGACCAAUGUAGACCUAGAUGUAAACAUUGAAGAAAUUAUUGGAUUGAAAAUAUUCCCUUGUGGUGUUUUUAUUUUUUUAUCAUUCAGUGUCAUGUUUUUGUUUUGCUGUUAAUCCAUGUUUUAGUCAAACUAAAAUAAUAUUUUUACAAAGCUUAUAUCAACUUUGUCUGGUAAAAAGUUUGAACUUGUUAUUUCUCCCACACCAAAUCUAGGACCAAGCUGAAAUUUCGCACUAUUAUAAUUCUUGUACCUGACAAAACAAGAAUCAAAUAAAAAAUUAACCAAUUAGUUAAUUAACUAUUGCUGAUUAAUUAUUUUGUUUGGUAAUGAACAAUGGAAAGAAAUAGUACUUGACAGAUGUAGUGAUAUAAGCUGAAUGGGUCCUCUUGAAGAGAAUUGUGCCCCGAGUUCAAAUUCAAAUCUAAAAUUUUUUUUUAUCAAUUGUUAUCUAUUACAAAUUUAAUAACAUGAUUGAUACAAACUAAUUGAUACAAGCACACUUAAUAAAUAUAAGCUUUAUUGUGUUUCUUUUAA